GACGAACGCUGGCGGCGUGCUUAACACAUGCAAGUCGAACGGAAAGGCCCCUUUGGGGGUACUCGAGUGGCGAACGGGUGAGUAACACGUGAGUAACCUGCCCUUGACUUCGGGAUAACUUCAGGAAACUGGGGCUAAUACCGGAUAGGAAUCCUUGCUGCAUGGUGGGGGUUGGAAAGCUUCGGCGGUUUUGGAUGGACUCGCGGCUUAUCAGCUUGUUGGUGGGGUAGUGGCUUACCAAGGCUUUGACGGGUAGCCGGCCUGAGAGGGCGACCGGCCACAUUGGGACUGAAAUACGGCCCAGACUCCUACGGGAGGCAGCAGUGGGGAAUAUUGCACAAUGGGCGGAAGCCUGAUGCAGCAACGCCGCGUGCGGGAUGACGGCCUUCGGGUUGUAAACCGCUUUCAGCAGGGGCGAAGCUUGUGGUGACGGUACCUACAGAAGAAGCACCGGCUAACUACGUG
rnacentral:rRNA from 1 species